rnacentral:rRNA from 1 species
AGAGUUUGAUUCUGGCUCAGAACGAACGCUGGCGGCAUGCCUAAUACAUGCAAGUCGAACGGAGAUAGCAAUAUCUUAGUGGCGAACGGGUGCGUAACACGUGAGCAACCUGCCUUAUACAUCGGAAUAACAGCUGGAAACGGCUGCUAAUACCGGAUAAGACCACACCAAGGCAUCUUGGAGAGGUCAAAGCGAAUUAGCGGUAUAAGAUGGGCUCGCGUCCAAUUAGCUAGUUGGUGGGGUAACGGCCCACCAAGGCAACGAUUGGUAGCCGACUUGAGAGAGUGAUCGGCCACACUGGAACUGAGACACGGUCCAGACUCCUACGGGAGGCAGCAGUAGGGAAUAUUGGGCAAUGGAAGGAAACUCUUACCCAGCAAUGCCGCGUGAAUGAUGAAGGUCUUAUGGAUUGUAAAGUUCUUUAAUUGGGGACGAAAGAAAUGACGGUACCCAAAGAAUAAGCCCCGGCUAACUACGUGCCAGCCGCGGC